AUUGCAAAAGAUCAAUCAAAAUCACUCCACCCCAAACUGAAUUAGCAGCCACCUACCAGUUCUGGGAAGGAAAGGAGAAGCUGCGUACAUAAAGGCACCUGAGAUUCUUAGACCACUGGAACAUCACCAGGAGAAGGCACCCAAGACAGAAUAAACAUCGCCACCUUGUAAAGGUGAACCCAGCAAGCUGCCAAGAUGUGCAACUUGAAUUUUGUUUGGAACAUAGUGAAAUGUAUGUUUAAGAUAGUAAAGUGGAUUUGUAACAAGGCCAAAGAACGGAUGAAGCGACACAAGCCGGCGAUCGAAAAACCACACAAGCCGGCGAUCGAAAAACCACCCAAGCCAGCGACUGAAAAACCACCCACACCAGUGACUGAAAAACCACCCAAACCAGCAACUGGGAAACCACCCAAACCAGCAACUGAAAAGCAAGACUGAAGAGGGAAUGACGGACCUCCACAGUCCCAUCUUCUCCAACACUGGCAGUAACAUCCCUCUGACUGUCAAGGCACACCAUGUUAUUUUGUUAAUGCAAUAAAGCUUGUUUGGAGCCGAACAUCUGAGUUUAAGGAUUUUAUUUUCAAGCGAAUGAUGUCUAAGAGGCAUUGGAAAAAUGCAUUUUUUAUUUAUUUGCAUUCGCAUAUUGCUAGGAAGUUCUCUCUAUGCCACUCUGUGGGCUUUUGAUGUGCUGAAUUUUAAUUCUCUUCUUUAAACAACACAGCCAAACUAGACAUGGUGGCCUGAGACCCAACUGGGAUAAUUCAAAGGGGAAGUGCAGCUUGUGUUGUAACUGUGACAAUAGAAAGGAGGGAGUCCACGCUUUCCAUGUCCUAA